CAACAAUGCACCAGCAUUCCAGUGUCCAACAGAGCAUGCGCGCACCAUCCCAGCAUCCGGCAACAAUGCACCGGUAGUCCAGUGUCCAACAGAGCAUGCCCGCACAUUCUAGUAUCCGGCAACAAUGCACCAGCAUUCCAGUGUCCAACAGAGCAUGCGCGCACCAUUCCAGCAUCCGGCAACAAUGCACCAGUAGUCCAGUGUCCAACAGAGCAUGCGUGCACCAUUCCAGUAUCCAGCAACAUGUGUGUCCCCCACCAUCCCGUUGUCCAGUGGCACAUGUGCGCCUGGACGUUCCAGUGUGGUGACCUUUCAGGCACGGAGCAAGGCCAAAGGGAUAAAAAAAUGAAGGUGACACAGUACUUCCCCUUAUAGCUCCCACAGGUCUGGAUAGGCCAGACAGAUCUGGAAAUAAAUAAUUCAUAAUAAAAAAUAAUUACAGAAUAAGAAGUACAACAACCACAGAUAGAAGGUACUGAGUAAAUCUGUAAGAAAUGGCUGCUUUGUUUUUGUUUUUGCUUAACAUGAGAAACGUAUUGAGUAUCAGCAGUUUCACUUGGUUCUAUAGAAUCUCUUUGGAGCCCAGUGAAAGGAGGACUCUGGAAAGGCCUCGGUGUGGAUGGGAGCCUCUCCCUGUGUGGACAAGCAUCCCCUGGGCUGCCCAGAGCUGAAGCAACCCCACUGUGCCUACCACUGCACAAUUGCUACCUCCUGUCUAUACAUGGUCUCCAAAAAGUGCCCUCAAAUGGGUCUGCUCCUAACUCAUUCCCUGUCAGUUCAGGGAACCUUCACCACUCCCCGUUCCCCACCCCCCACCCCAACCCCACCCCUCCAGCUUCAGGGAAAGCCUGUCAUCAGGCAGAAGGGUCCUGAAAUGCAGGCCCUGCCCUUUCCACUAGUCUAAGGCAAAACACUCUCCCUGGUCCUCAUCCCACACGGCCCCAGGCCACACUCCCUGAGCACUUGCCCUCUUCUCCCGGUGCCAGGCAGGUGCCCUCCAGCCUACCCAGCCUUGGGCUGUAUCAGGAUCUACCAAGGGCUUGUUAAGCUCACAUGGCUGGGCUCUGAUGGCUCCUUGCUGAUCCAGGAGGUCUGGGGUGGGGCCUGAGGAUGUGCAUUUCUAGCAAAAUUCCCUGGGAUGUUGAAUGUGCUGGUCCACAUUUUGAGAACCACUGCUGAAAUCUGUUGCAUCUUAAAAGCAAGAUGAAAGGAAAAGGCCACACUCUCUGGCCCAUCCCACUUCUCUGAUCUCCCUCUUCACCCCUUGGGCAUUUCCACACAUGCUCUUGGCUUCUUUCCUCAACCCUGUGCCAUCCACUCUGUCCCCUGGCCAGCAUCCUCUAGCUGGCACCAUGUCAUGUUGGGGUACCAGGGUGGAGACCCUUGGUCUCUGUGGCCAUUGACUUUAUUACUGGCAACUUGGCUGGGCCACCAUGCCCAGAUAUUGGGUCAAAUGCUAGGUUAGAUUGGCACUUUUGUCAGUAGACUGAGUAAAGCGUGUGACAUAAUGUGGGUGGGCCUCACCCAAUCCAUCAAGGGCCUUGAGAGAAAAAGACAGAGGUUCCCCGAGGAAGAGAGAGCUCUGCCCCCAGACCGCCUGGACUGCAACCCAACUCUCCCCAGUCCCCGGCUGCCCCUGGCCUGCGGAUUCUGGACCUUCCAACACCCACAAUUUCAGGAGCUGAUUUGUUAAACUAAGUCUCUCUUUCUCUCUAGCUCUGUCAAGUCUUUAUUCUGCCUUAAAUUAUAGCACAAAUGAUGCCAUCUUUCCAUAAAAAUCAUUUAACGCUUGCCUAAAGAACGACUGUCACCGUUACACCUGGCAUUAGGGAGCACUGGGCACUCCAGGCACCUGCCAGAUGCUUCCCACACUGUAAACUAUUGGUCUUCACAGAGAGCUGGGAAAAGGCACCGUUUUUAGCAUGUUACAGAAUAUGCAGAGAGGUUCAGCGACUUGCCCCAGGCCACACAGAGGCACAAAGAUGCAGACCUGUGGUGUCUGUAGUGUCGCAAGGGGAAUGGCAUCCACAAAGUUCCCAGCAGAUAGACCCAGGACACUUAGGUAAGGUCCCAAGCCGUGUGUCCCAAGGGACGGCUUUCUUUCCAUCCCUGGCUCAGCCUCUCUCCCAGGAACCACAGGCGCUCCAGGAGGGAGGCUGAAGGUAACACGACACCUGGAUACCAAACAUCCUCAUAGCUACCGACCUUUCUGGAUGAUCAGCCACAAAGCGGAGGGCAAGGAAGUCUGGAAUUCACAUUAACAUAAACUAUAAUGCAGAAUCAGUUGAUAAGGACAGUUAGUGAGGAGAUGGUCUUUUGGGGAUAAAAUCUGGCAGGAUUGCUGACCUGGACUCCAUCAUCUAACGUUCUCACACACAAAUGACCAUUACGUUUUGAUGCAUAAAACAAGUAACUUAAUAUGUAUUUUUGUCUGACUACAAAAUCAUUGCAUUCACUUUGGAAAAUACAGAAAAUAAAAAUAAAAUACACUUCAACAGCAUCACCUAGAGGUCUUUUUAUCCUUCUGAUGCCUUUUUAUACAAAAUUAUAACAGCAAUGUAUAUUCUUUGUAACAAAUUUUUCACUCAAACGUUUUUUCAUGAUGCUACUCAUCUGCAUGAUUUUAAGUAGCUGGGUGAAUAUUUCCUGGGAGGUGUUUCAAAUUUUAAUCAGGUUUUCUAGUGAUCCUUGGCUGUCAUAAACACUGGCAAAGAAACACACAGGUAAAUCCUUAUCUCACAUCUGAUUGUUUCUCUGGGUUAAUUUCCUACAAGUAGAGGUACAGGCCAAAGGGUAUGGCUAUUUUAAAGUUUCUGAAAUCCGUACAUGACUUUUACAUGUGCACGUUAUGGUAACACGCAUCCACGCGAGCAGACACAGGGCGCUGUGGGAAUCUGCACCUUGUUCCUUGGCAGGGGGUCCCUGUCACAGGGAGCAUCAUGGUGGGCUCACGCCAUCCUGGGGGCAGCCCGGGUACUGCUCGGAUGGGUUUGUUUGGUGAAAAAACAAAAGGCAAACUCACUUUAACUAGAGACCAUUUGCCUGCAUGGUGGGGAGAGCUGCUCCUGAGGCAAGAACCACAACUCAAAGCUUGACAUCAACGUGGGCAACUGUAGAACCCAGGGCACCGGGGCCGCCUCAAGGGAAUCUCAAGAGUCGCCACCGUGGGCAGGGGCCAUCCGAGGUGGGCUAUGCACUGCCCCAGCUGGGACCCCCCGCCCCCCGCAACCCUGCGCUGAGGUGCACUGCAAGUGGACGCCAUCUCCUCCCAGGCAGCCUGGUUAACCCAACCUCUCUCAGUUACAUCGAAUGUGCCAGAUCCCCAUCCACAACCCUUCCAGUGGGGGCUGCAGGCCAAGCCUCUGUGAGUCCCCUGUGUCCCUGGGGUAGAAUCUCUGGGGCCUGGAGCAAGCAGGUGGUUGGUGUGGCCGUGCACACCGGCACCAGUGGAGGAGCCGCCCUGCCUCUGCCAGCUUCUGGGGAGCCAGCACCCUUGACUGUGGCCCGACCCAGCUGCGAGCCUAUCUCCCUGUAUCUCUCCCCAUCUUCCAUCGACACCAGUGGCUGGAUUAUGGUUCCUACUCCAGGGCGACUCCAUCUGAGCUCAUCCAUCUGCAGAGGCAGCGGCCCCACCUCCACGAGGCCACACCCACAGACACUGGGGGUCAGAACUCAACACAUCUUUUCAGGGACACAAUUCUACCCACAAUAGCAGGAAAGGGACCAAGACAGGCUACGGAGCAGCCACAUGCACGACUGGCUGCAGACACGGGUGCAGGGAGGUGAGUGGCCCUGGGGACCCCCUGAGGGUCCUUGCUGACCGACCUGAGGAUCCACCUGGUGCCUAUCCCGGUCCCCACACAAGUCAUUCCCUCCUAGCCAUGCCCUGCUGUGGAGUCCUGAGCAGAGAGUUCUGAGGAGCUGUGGAGGCUCAGUGACCCUCGCCCUGCUCUGAUGCCAGGCCCCAGAAUCCUGGCCAGGAGGAGCACGCUCAGACCCUGUUGGAUGAGGAGCAGGAAUCCGCCGCAUAGAGAAAGAAUUCCUUCAAAAGCAACUUUAGAUUCCACGAGAAGUGCCUGGGCCCCAGGUUGGCAGGAGGACGUGAAAAGACAGCGGCAUUCCCUGCUGAGAGCGGCAGAGGUGUGAAGGCUGCACUGGCCACGGACCAGGCCUGGGCACCAGGGAUGUGGCCACCAACUGGGUCAGCUAGAGGUGAGGCCCACCCCCAUGGCCAGCUCCUCACAGCACAGCAGGCCUGGCCAACAUCACACGGGGACCACAACCCACCCGCACAUGCAGGCCUCUGAGGAGACAGCACUGCCUCACUAGACGGUAAGUCCACAUGUGUGUUUGUAUGUGUGUGUGCAUGUGUGUGAGCAUGUCCGUGUGUACAUGUGUGUAUGUGCAUGUGCCUGUGUGUGUGCA